UACGUAGGUGGCAAGCGUUGUCCGGAAUUAUUGGGCGUAAAGCGCGCGCAGGCGGUCCUUUAAGUCUGAUGUGAAAGCCCACGGCUCAACCGUGGAGGGUCAUUGGAAACUGGGGGACUUGAGUGCAGGAGAGAAGAGUGGAAUUCCACGUGUAGCGGUGAAAUGCGUAGAGAUGUGGAGGAACACCAGUGGCGAAGGCGGGUCUCUGGGCCGAUACUGACGCUGAGGAGCGAAAGCGUGGGGAGCAAACAGG
rnacentral:rRNA from 1 species